AUGGCCCUCACUUGGCUAUGGGUUAUUGUCCAUUACAUAUCAUAUGCCCAUCUUGCCAUGUUCACUUUGCAUGAUAUGCUCAUUCCUAUGCCUUUGACAUGCAUUUGUGACCCAUGCUUUGCAUUGCACAUGAUGAUUGAUUCUAGUACUUGUAUGUGCAUUUGCAUGCUUGGAGAAGAUAUUGCUUGUUCUUGGCAUGUUCCUUUUGUGCACCAUUACUAUGAUGAUACUAUGAUCUUGCUUUAUGUUCGUGCUUGUGAUAUGUCAGGUGCAUUGUCUAUGCCUAUUAUUUGCUCAUAUGACAUGAUUGCCAUGAUUUCUCCUAGUGUGUUGCAUCUUCGCUCCACUAGUUUGCACGACUUGAUUACUAUGCUUGCUUAUGUUGCAUCACCAAUGAUUCAUACUUGCUUAUUUCAUGCGGUUGAUGACAACCAUCUACAUGCUUUGCACAUGAUUGUUAUUGCUUCUUGUCACAUAUCUCCAUAUGUUGCCUCUCUCAUGCUAGAUGACUUGACAUGUAUUGAGUGCAACAAUGCUUAUAGUCUUGCUCAUGAGAUUGCCCCCAUAGCAUUCUCACAUAUGUUUGGAGAUUUUGACAUAUUCCUUGUGAAGCAUGCUUGUCUUACUUCUUUUCACCAUAUACCUAGUGCCAUGAAUAUAGACAUUGUCGCAUCAUAUUAUUCAUGCACUUGUGCUUCUAAUGACUAUGUGCAAAAGAUGAGAACCAUCAUGAUGGACGAUGUGUUUGUCUAUCAUGCGCAUACUUUCUUUGUUUUGUUUUGUGCAUGUGUAGGAUACUUGGACUUUGUGUCGACUUCCACUUCACGUGAGUUGACCAUUCGAGCUCUUGAGAGUGAGCCUCAUAUAUUCUACCAUGACUCGCUUCUACACCACAUUUCCUACAACUUCGGCAUUGUGAAGAAUGCACAAGGACACGCCUUCAAGGUGACAUCUUUCUUGAGCUUGGAUAUUGUGGAUCAUACUUCAUGUGUUGCUUGCACCAUUUGCACGCAUGUUCGAGAUAUUGCUUACAUCCAUGAUUGCCACAUUCCCAUGCUUCAUGGUAUAUAUACCUUGUGUUGCAUCCAAUUCUUAGUCUACUUGCUACUAUCAUAUGAUUGGUUGCAACAAUGUCACUUAUUCACAUAUGCCAUGUUCCAUUGCGUGUCACAUGCUUGA
rnacentral:rRNA from 1 species